rnacentral:rRNA from 1 species
GACGAACGCUGGCGGCGUGCUUAACACAUGCAAGUCGAACGGUGAAGCGCCGUCCUUGUUGGUGGGUGGGGAUGAGUGGCGAACGGGUGAGUAACACGUGAGUAACCUGCCCCCUUCUGCUGGAUAACCGCAUGAAAGGGUGGCUAAUACGGGAUAUUCUGGGUCUGUCGGAUGAUUGGUCUGGGAAAGAUAUUGUUUCGGUGGGGGAUGGGCUCGCGGCCUAUCAGCUUGUUGGUGGGGUGAUGGCCUACCAAGGCGGUGACGGGUAGCCGGCCUGAGAGGGUGGACGGCCACACUGGGACUGCGCGACGGCGCAGCCUCCUACGGGAGGCAGCAGUGGGGAAUAUUGAACAAUGGGCGCCAGCCUGAUGCAGCGACGCCGCGUGAGGGAUGGAGGCCUUAGGGUUGUGAACCUCUUUCGCCAGUGAAGCAGGCCUGCCUCGUCUGUGGGUGGGCUGACGGUAGCUGGAUAAGAAGCGCCGGCUAACUACGUG